rnacentral:rRNA from 1 species
AGUUCGGAUUGUAGUCUGCAACUCGACUACAUGAAGCUGGAAUCGCUAGUAAUCGCAGAUCAGAAUGCUGCGGUGAAUACGUUCCCGGGUCUUGUACACACCGCCCGUCACACCAUGGGAGUCGGAAAUGCCCGAAGCCGGUGACCCAACCAAAAGGAGGGAGCCGUCGAAGGCAGGUCUGAUAACUGGGGUGAAGUCGUAACAAGGUAAC